CUCUGGCCCAGGGCAGAUUCAGAAAUGCUGUCCAAGAGCCAAGGCCUGGAAUUAGGGACCCUAAGGGCCCGCUUGGUGUUUUACUCCACUGUGGUUGAGCUGGUACCUAAGCUGCAAGACAAAGUCCCUUUUAUUCUUCUCUCUCCAUUUCUCAAGAAGAAGGAGGCUUUCCCCAUAUCUCCCACAACUCGGAAUGUGCUGGAUCAUACGGGAAUCCAGCAUGUCUCUGAGUCUCACUCAAAGCCUAUGGUGAGUGCUAUCUGGGUACCACUGCUGACUAUUCAGGGCCCAAAGGUUUUUUAGUCAGCUGUGGAUAAUUCUUGACAGGACUGGAUCCUUCCCUUCAAAAGAGCAGGUUCCCUUCUGCGCCAGUGUGUGCCUAGAAAUGUUGUACAGAAGCUAGGUUCUGGAAUGGAGGCCUCAUGACUCUGCCCAGUGCCCUAUCCUACUGUGGUGGAACUGGUAUCCAAGUUGCAAGACAAAGUUCUUUUUACUCUUCCCUCUCCUCUCAUUAAGCAGAAAGAAGUCUCUCCUGGAGCUGCAAGCUGCACUGCCGGGGGUUGGGGAGGGGUGAUGCAAGCAUUCCCUUGGCCACCCCGGCUGGUGUCUCACAAGGUUGCAUGCCACCAACAUCCGCUGGCUUUGAAUCCAACACAGCACCAGGACUUGCCCAGGAAUUGCAGUCCCUGUUGCCUUUCAAGUUUAUUUAGGACUUCAGAGUACUUUAACCCACAAUGGUGAGGCUUGCUGGAACUCAGGUUCCAACCACUGGGUUGGGCAAUUCCCCUCUGGCUAGGGCUGGUCUAACUUAUCCCUCUGUGGGUGCUGACUGAGUUCUGCCCACUAUUACUUUCUGCUGUGACAGGCAGCACUGAGUUCCAAUGUAAAAUUCCACAGUCACUGUGCUCCCCCUCCCCCAAGCACACAGAUUCUUUCUCCACCACAUGGCUGCUGCUGGGGGAUGGGGCAGGCGUGGUGUGGGCAAUUCAAGACUAUCUUUUCUAUCCUCUUCGGCACCUCUUUCAGUGAUAUGAAGUUAAAACCAGGGAGAAUGAUUGGUGAAGGCUUCUAUUUGGUCAACUUGCUCUGUCUUUAUAGCCAAUUUAUAUUGAUAAGAGUUUCUCUCUAGAUACCAUUUGCGGUAUUCCUGAGUCAGAAGAGAGGAAAGGUGAUACUGCCACCCCCUGGAGUCGUCUCUCAAGAGGACUUGAUCUCUGGCCUGUGAACUGCCCCACAUGUUUCUUCUGCACAUCCUGACUCCCAGGCCUGCACAGGGGACUUCUGCACAGGCCUGACUCCCAGGCCUGACAUUUUCUGGUCUGUCUUCGCCAUGGUCUGCUAUCAACUGCAGUUUUGAAUUCUGGUUUCUCUUAUUCUUUGUCUCUAGGCAAGUCAACAGGUUCAGCAGCCAGAGUCCUAUCCUGUACUUCUCUUCACGUUGCAGACAUCCACGAAAGAGUGAGACUGUUUUCGGUUGGAUUGAAGAGCAAAUGUGUGGAAGGCACCAAGGUUUGUGUGUAAAUGUGGUGAGUGGGGCCAAGGAGAACUUCUGCACUUCUGCCAGGAGGAAUUAGGAGGCUGAGCAAGACAGACCGCCUGGUCAGUGUGGAGGCGUUGAACUGUGCUAUGUGAGACUGAUAACAUUUGGCUCUUGUCUAAUGAGCCCACCUGGCCACACUGGGGAAUUGAAGAAUCUAGUGACUAGAGGGUACCCACGUAUAGGUUAUCCAUAAGAAUUCCCAAAUAUUGAAGAAGCUUAAAAAGUGUGUUAAACAGUCCUUUCUGCCCAGAGAUCAAAGGCAGCUGAAAGAUCUAUAUUGGAUAUCCUGAUCUAUUCUUCAGUCUCAAUGGAUUCAGCUCCCUUGGAAAUGCUUUUUUGUGCAUGAGCAAUCACUUGUAUCUGAGACUUUCUGAGUCAUUGAUUAGUGCGGGUUUGCAUCAUCAGAUACAGCUUGAAACCAAUCUUUAGAAUGUUUCCCAGUCAUCUUUUUGUGAUUUUAUGAUGGCAAGAAUUUACAUUCCUUCCCCGUCCCAUGACUGGUAUGUGUGUUCUAGGAAAAGUUGGCAUUGGUUCUAUCUGGAUGUAUUGAUGCUGCUGUUUUGGGGGAAUAUCCAGUGCCAGAAAAUGCCUGGAACACCCUGAUCCAGUGGGAGGGUGUUAAACCCUAAUGGGUCUAUGCCAUUGUCAAUGUUCAGCAGGCCAGAUGCCUUUGGAGGGAGAAGGUCAGGGGUUUGGACCUUUGGGGUUAACCACCACUCAAUAAUUUCCUACAGUCAAAGACUCACUUCUCUCUACUGAUUACACUCCCACUACCAUUUUGCACUAAAGUACAAGUGCAGAUUAAGUGAGUUAUUCAGUUGGUUGCAACAGCAUACCACUACAGGGGUAGCUGGUCUUCUAAACAGAGCUUGGGAUAUUA
rnacentral:lncRNA from 1 species